rnacentral:rRNA from 1 species
GACGAACGCUGGCGGCGUGCUUAACACAUGCAAGUCGAACGGAAAGGCCCUGCUUGCAGGGUGCUCGAGUGGCGAACGGGUGAGUAACACGUGGGUGAUCUGCCCCUUACUUUGGGAUAAGCCUGGGAAACUGGGUCUAAUACUGGAUAGGACCAUGCUGUAGGUGGUGUGGUGGAAAGAUUAGUUUCGGUAAGGGAUGAGCUCGCGGCCUAUCAGCUUGUUGGUGGGGUAAUGGCCUACCAAGGCGUCGACGGGUAGCCAGCCUGAGAGGGUGGACGGCCACAUUGGGACUGAGAUACGGCCCAGACUCCUACGGGAGGCAGCAGUGGGGAAUAUUGCACAAUGGGCGCAAGCCUGAUGCAGCGACGCCGCGUGGGGGAUGACGGCCUUCGGGUUGUAAACUCCUUUCAGCCAUGACGAAGCCCUUGUGGUGACGGUAGUGGUAGAAGAAGCACCGGCUAACUACGUG